rnacentral:tRNA from 1 species
GGCCGAGUACGCAAAUGGGAAAAGCGGCCAGGUCGAGAGCCUGGUGAAGUUGUGGGUUCGACUCCCACCUUGGUCACC